rnacentral:rRNA from 1 species
UGAGGAAUAUUGGUCAAUGGGCGGAAGCCUGAACCAGCCAUGCCGCGUGCAGGAAGGAGGCCCUACGGGUUGUAAACUGCUUUUACCCGGGAAGAAACCGCCCCCUGUGGGGGGCGUUGCCGGUACCGGGGGAAAAAGGAUCGGCUAACUCCGUGCCAGCAGCCGCGGCAAUACGGAGGAUCCGGGCGUUAUCCGGAAUUACUGGGUUUACAGGGUGCGUAGGCGGGGCUUUAAGCCGGCGGUGACAUGCAGCGGCUCAACCGCUGGAAUGCCGUUGGGACUGGGGGUCUUG